rnacentral:lncRNA from 10 species
CUGCCUCCGGCCUGGAAUUCUGGUUGUUCUUUAUGUAAGCCCGCAAUGGGGGCGGCCUUCCUGGCUGGAGCCAAGCGACCUGAUUUCUUGGAGAGAAGGAAGUCAGAACCCUGAUCUGGCAGCGCCUCCGGGAGCCGAGCUGCUCACUGGAGUGGGAGUUCUGGGACAGCAGCAGAGGGCGCCCUCGGUUCAUCACUGCGCCCUGCGGAAGUUGCCUGGUGGGGACUUGGGGGCGCACGUUCCAGUGGCAGCGGAACAGAGGGGUAGCGCCAGAAGACUGCAAGCCCCAGUCAGGAGACCAGGCAGGAGGCUGGAGCAUGAGACCUG